rnacentral:lncRNA from 1 species
GAAUUGAUCCGACUCAAGAGAAGAACUCAGAUGAAGAGACAAAGCAGUACGGCAAUGCCAUCCUCGCCAGGGAGAUGAGACCAAAUACACAAGUCGAUGAUUUCGCUGCCAAUCUCCAGCACCCAAACAAGUAAAUGACUCCUUUAAGCAAAAGAAAUAAAACUACCCAAGAGCUUUUACCAGCCGAGAACUAGUAAACUCAGAGGAAAACAACAAAGGGCCAAAGGAAACCAGUGAGCGAGAAGAUUAUAGAGCGGUUAGGUAGUGCUUCUUUGGCACUCUCAUUCUCAUGUAGCCAGUUGAGGGACCAGAUGCUGCACAAUCACAAUGGCAUCAUUAGUGUACUUGGAGAUGCCAUGGCCAAUAUCAAAUCAAGGACCUGGAGAUCCUAGAGGAAGAGGCUAAUUCAACAUCAUUACAACCUGAAUCUCUUCCUGAAAGAGGCACUGAGGCUUUCCAGCUAUCCAUGUUGAAGAGAUACUUUCGUGCAAGCACACCUGCAAGACAAGAGCAAACCAAAC